UGAGGUGCUGUCUUCCGGGCUUGAAGUUCUAAAAAUUUCAACUAAAUAAAGCAUAACUCUCAACUUUUAGGUUGUGAAUAUUUUUUUAGUCAACAACCCUCCGCUGGAAAGAGGAAAUUUAUCAGUGAACCCCCACUGUGGUAGUUUUGUGGUAAUAAGGGGAGAGAGAAGAUGACUAAAUGGAGCAUUUAACAACUAUCCUUUUUUCCACUCCCCUUAGGAGGUCCUGGAAUUGGAACCUUAGAACAGAGAUGGCAGAAGGCAUUUCAGGACAGACAAGAGAAGGGAGGAUGCUGCAGAGAGCAGGCUGCCUUAUUCAGUUUGCCCGGACCUGGCUCAGUUAGCUAUCAUCCCAUAACUAGAAGAAGACCUUUCGAAAAGACUUUGACUUCCAACAUCUGGUUAAACCACAUCAUAAUGAAAAGAGAGUCUGCUUGAUGAGGUUGACCUAAGCCCCACAUUUUUCUCUGUUAGUUCUCUUUCUGCUCUGUCUUUGUAAAAUCUCUUUGAGGGUGUUGAAGCACCUAGUGACAGAUGUGGAGAUUUAACGAGUUUUAGGCCCCUUGAUUUUCUUGGUGGGCUAUAGCGACUCAUCUGCUGUCACUCAUCUAAUCCAACCUGUCUUCAGAUCAUGUUGAAAUUCCUUUUUGUCACAUCCCACAGAACAUGACAAACAGGCAGAUUAGCCUGAUUGUUGAGGCCCAUCAGCUCUAUGCUCUUAGUUAAAUGAUACCAAGCACGGAUCAUGAAGCAAAGCUUUGCAGGGUUAGCUGGGUGUGUAAUUACAAUGACAUCAUUUAAUAAACUUGCCAUCACUGUCUUAAUCCUCAGUCAAGUAAAAGCAUGAGAAUCCUUGUUAGCCAUGAUUAGGUGACACUGAUGGUUAACAACAUUUUCUCAUCUCACCAGAUUCAUUUUUAUUAAAACUCUUAACUUGGUUAAAGUGUUUUUUUUUUUUUUUCCCAACAGGAUCACCUGAUUGAUGGUGACUUUGUGGGUUUUCAUGAUGAAGGUGUGUUAUAAGUUGGCUGCAUCACCAAGCUGUAAGUCAAGAUGUCUUGUCCAGCCUUGACUAGGUUAUUCCAUCCUUGGCCUGUAGUUGACACUUGACAGGUAUUCAGCAACAAAGCACUGUUUGUCAAGCCCAGUGUGGAAUUGUUUCAAAGGACCAAGUCAUUUCUGAAGAAAUAUGACAAUACUGCAUGAUCCACUGUCAGCUGAAUCCUUGAGUGUAGAACCUCAGACAUGGAGGAACCACCUACACAAAGGACAGACUAUAAGACGCUCAGAUUUUCAACUCUGCAGAGUCGGCACCCCUACCACUCAUGUGUUCAAGGGUCAACUGUAUUUGUAUCUACUUUAAAACUCAAACCUUAGUCAAAAAUUUAAGACUAUCAUUUGUUUAACAAGCCUUAGAAGAUUGUAUCCAAUAAGUUCAUUUUGUUUAAGAUGCGG
ensembl:lncRNA